ACAAACCGGAGGAAGGUGGGGAUGACGUCAAAUCAUCAUGCCCCUUACGGCCUGGGCUACACACGUGCUACAAUGGUCAGAACAAAGGGCAGCCAAGCCGCGAGGAGGAGCCAAUCCCACAAAUCCGAUCUCAGUUCGGAUCGCAGUCUGCAACUCGACUGCGUGAAGUCGGAAUCGCUAGUAAUCGCGAAUCAGCAUGUCGCGGUGAAUACGUUCCCGGGCCUUGUACACACCGCCCGUCACACCACGAGAGUGUGGUUACACCAGAAGUACGGUGGUG
rnacentral:rRNA from 1 species